ACGAACGCUGGCGGCGUGCCUAAUACAUGCAAGUAGAACGCUGAAGAGAGGAGCUUGCUCUUCUUGGAUGAGUUGCGAACGGGUGAGUAACGCGUAGGUAACCUGCCUUGUAGCGGGGGAUAACUAUUGGAAACGAUAGCUAAUACCGCAUAACAAUGGAUGACACAUGUCAUUUAUUUAAAAGGGGCAAUUGUUCCACUACAAGAUGGACCUGCGUUGUAUUAGCUAGUAGGUGAGGUAAUGGCUCACCUAGGCGACGAUACAUAGCCGACCUGAGAGGGUGAUCGGCCACACUGGGACUGAGACACGGCCCAGACUCCUACGGGAGGCAGCAGUAGGGAAUCUUCGGCAAUGGGGGCAACCCUGACCGAGCAACGCCGCGUGAGUGAAGAAGGUUUUCGGAUCGUAAAGCUCUGUUGUAAGUCAAGAACGGGUGUGAGAGUGGAAAGUUCACACUGUGACGGUAGCUUACCAGAAAGGGACGGCUAACUACGUGCCAGCAGCCGCGGUAAUACGUAGGUCCCGAGCGUUGUCCGGAUUUAUUGGGCGUAAAGCGAGCGCAGGCGGUUUGAUAAGUCUGAAGUUAAAGGCUGUGGCUCAACCAUAGUUCGCUUUGGAAACUGUCAAACUUGAGUGCAGAAGGGGAGAGUGGAAUUCCAUGUGUAGCGGUGAAAUGCGUAGAUAUAUGGAGGAACACCGGUGGCGAAAGCGGCUCUCUGGUCUGUAACUGACGCUGAGGCUCGAAAGCGUGGGGAGCGAACAGGAUUAGAUACCCUGGUAGUCCACGCCGUAAACGAUGAGUGCUAGGUGUUGGAUCCUUUCCGGGAUUCAGUGCCGCAGCUAACGCAUUAAGCACUCCGCCUGGGGAGUACGACCGCAAGGUUGAAACUCAAAGGAAUUGACGGGGGCCCGCACAAGCGGUGGAGCAUGUGGUUUAAUUCGAAGCAACGCGAAGAACCUUACCAGGUCUUGACAUCCCGAUGCUAUUUCUAGAGAUAGAAAGUUACUUCGGUACAUCGGUGACAGGUGGUGCAUGGUUGUCGUCAGCUCGUGUCGUGAGAUGUUGGGUUAAGUCCCGCAACGAGCGCAACCCCUAUUGUUAGUUGCCAUCAUUCAGUUGGGCACUCUAGCGAGACUGCCGGUAAUAAACCGGAGGAAGGUGGGGAUGACGUCAAAUCAUCAUGCCCCUUAUGACCUGGGCUACACACGUGCUACAAUGGUUGGUACAACGAGUUGCGAGUCGGUGACGGCGAGCUAAUCUCUUAAAGCCAAUCUCAGUUCGGAUUGUAGGCUGCAACUCGCCUACAUGAAGUCGGAAUCGCUAGUAAUCGCGGAUCAGCACGCCGCGGUGAAUACGUUCCCGGGCCUUGUACACACCGCCCGUCACACCACGAGAGUUUGUAACACCCGAAGUCGGUGAGGUAACCUUUUGGAGCCAGCCGCCUAAGGUGGGACAGAUGAUUGGGGUG
rnacentral:rRNA from 1 species